rnacentral:rRNA from 1 species
CAAAGAGGUUUACCCUAAUCCAACAUCGAGGUCACACUUACCGCCUUCGAUACGACCUCUGAGGCGGUCUUGUGCUGUUAUCCCUGCGGUAGCUUUUUCCUUUUUCAUUAUCCUGAACAUAAUGGAUCUUUGCUUUAAAAACGGAGGCUAUCUCCAUUGCUGCCCCAGCCAAACUCCUAAUCACGUUUACUAAACGUUCAAAUCCCUCAAGCUCGACAGGGCCUUCUCGUCUUUUACUCUCAUCUAAGCCUUUUCACUUAAAAGUAAAUUUCAUUUAAUCUUUCUGAGACAGCUUUUCCGACGUCAACCCUUUC